GUGUCAGCAGCCGCGGUAAUACGUAGGGUGCGAGCGUUAAUCGGAAUUACUGGGCGUAAAGAGUGCGUAGGCGGUCCCGCAAGUCCGCUGUGAAAGCCCCGGGCUUAACCUGGGAAUGGCAGUGGAAACUAUGGGACUUGAAUCUGGCAGAGGGGGGUGGAAUGCCACGUGUAGCAGUGAAAUGCGUAGAGAUGUGGCGGAACACCGAUGGCGAAGGCAGCCCCCUGGGCUGAGAUUGACGCUCAGGCACGAAAGCGUGGGGAGCAAACAGGAUUAGAAACCCGCGUAGUCC
rnacentral:rRNA from 1 species